UACGGGGGGGGCAAGCGUUGUUCGGAAUUACUGGGCGUAAAGGGCUCGUAGGCGGCCAACUAAGUCAGACGUGAAAUCCCUCGGCUUAACCGGGGAACUGCAUCUGAUACUGGAUGGCUUGAGUUCGGGAGAGGGAUGCGGAAUUCCAGGUGUAGCGGUGAAAUGCGUAGAUAUCAAGCGGAACACCGGUGGCGAAGGCGAGUCCCUGGACAACACCUGACACUGAGGCACGAAAGCUAGGGGAGCAAACAGG
rnacentral:rRNA from 1 species